GAUGCUUCCGCCAAGGCCCGACUUUUAUUUUCCCCAGCACGGAUUGUUUCCGUUGGCUGGCGAUGGAGUGAGGCAUGGUCGCUGGUGAAGCUACUCCGGUCAAGAAUGCAUCGCUUCGGUGUUGAGGUGUUGGUCCAAGUACUGAACUCAUAUCCCUUGGUGACUGGCACUUGGUUUUAUUAGGUUAAUCUUGAUUAGGAAUAGCUAAUAUCCGGGCUUAUGUUUUUCACUGGUGUGGUAGAAUGUUAGGGGUUGAAGAGACAGCUCUUUGUCUGUGACAGAGCUUGUUCUCACUGGGUUUAAUUACAUCAAAGUAUAAAAUUCGGUAGUCUAUGAUCCAAUCUAGUGAUCUUUUGAUGGUACUGAAUCACUUUGUAUGUAAAAGUGGUUGCGGUUCUCGGGAACAGCGUGACGCAGAGCCUUGUUUUGUCAGAGUGGUCAGCUGAUGAAGCGAGUUCUGUAGCUGGUUCGCGGUGAGGCUCAGCUUCCCAGUGUCGGCGGCGGUUCCUCCACCUUGUCGACAGCGGAGCCCACACCAUUGGAAGCUUGAAGACUGUACCAGUUUCGAUGCUUCCGCCAAGGCCCGACUUUUAUUUUCCCCAGCACGGAUUGUUUCCGUUGGCUGGCGAUGGAGUGAGGCAUGGUCGCUGGUGAAGCUACUCCGGUCAAGAAUGCAUCGCUUCGGUGUUGAGGUGUUGGUCCAAGUACUGAACUCAUAUCUCUUGGUGACUGGCACUUGGUUUUAUUAGGUUAAUCUUGAUUAGGAAUAGCUAAUAUCCGGGCUUAUGUUUUUCACUGGUGUGGUAGAAUGUUAGGGGUUGAAGAGACAGCUCUUUGUCUGUGACAGAGCUUGUUCUCACUGGGUUUAAUUACAUCAAAGUAUAAAAUUCGGUAGUCUAUGAUCCAAUCUAGUGAUCUUUUGAUGGUACUGAAUCACUUUGUAUGUAAAAGUGGUUGAAAUCCUUGUGGUUAAAAAUCAUGUAAUCCCCCAAUUGGUAAAUGAAAAGUUGAUGUUGAGCCAAAAAA
rnacentral:lncRNA from 1 species